CAGGAGGCCAGACUGCCCUAGGGGUGGGAGGGGGGUGGGGCACACCGUCUGUCCUUGAAGUCAUCUAGGUAAGAGGUGAUGGUGGUGGCCUAGUCGUGGUUGGUGGCAGGAAACAGUGAGAAGCAGUAUACAGAUUCUAUGGCUAUGUGUGUGUGUGUGUGUGUGUGUGUGUAUAGAUAUAUAUAUAUA